AUGUACACCAUCAGGAUCUGGAAGAGUGUCAGCAAGAUGGUCCUUGGUCAGAAGCAGCAGCCUGUCUCCACCGAGAAGCAGGCUAUGGACUGCACCUGUAUGCUGGGCCUUCCUGCUUAUCCCAGAUGGGUCCGGCACAGGGUCAGCAGAGUCGUCACUGGAAAGAUCCCAAAGCAAGAAGACAAGGGCACGGAACAGGAGGCCUUCAAGGGGCCAUGUUGGCGUGGCAUUUCAGUGCGCCCUAUCAAGACCUGGAAGAGUGUCAGCAAGAUGGUCCUUGGUCAGGAGCAGCAGCCUGUCUCCACCAAGAAGCAGGCUAUGGACUGCUCCUGCAGGCUGGGCCUUUUCUCCUGCCUGAAAUGCAUCCAGUACCGGAUCAGCAGCACCGUUGUUACAGAAGGCCCAAAGCAGCAGCCGCUGGAGAUGACUCAGAAGACCUUCAAGGGGCCCUGGUGGCUUCCCAGGAUCCGGGAAUGGGUCAGCAAGACGGUCUUCCCUGAGAAGCAACUGCGUAUUGACGCUGAGCACCAGGAGUCCAGCUGGUCCCGUUGGCUUGGCCUUUCCGCUUUUCCCAGAUGGGUCCGGUACUGGGUCAGCAGAAUCAUCAGUUCAGAGCGCAUGGAUCAGUUCUUCAGCUCGGCCUUCCCCCUGGACCAAGUCUGCAACUACUUUGCCCAAGGCGCAUUAGUCCGGCUCUUUUUAGAGGUCUUGUUCAUCAUCUUCAUUUGCUACCUGCUGAAGGUUGCUCAGGGGCCUCAGGAUAUAAGAGAGUUUUGUCAUGUCCCUGAAAUUGAAGAUGUUGAGCAGGAAAUGGGAGAGGCGUGGUUCCAGACAGGGAGGAAAACAUGCCCUGAGGAAAUCCAUCUAACAGCCUCUGCCUGGUGCCUUGCACAUUGUAAUUAUGAAUAUAGAGAUCUGAUAGAACAGGGACAACAGCCACAGGUUCUUGAGUUUUGUUCCACAUCCAGCAAAUUCUUAGCAGACUUUUUAAAGCUUUUGUUCUCAAAUUUAAUCACCUAG
rnacentral:lncRNA from 1 species